ACUUCCCCCUCCCCAUCUCCUGGCUCCUGGCCUCUCUGGGACCGAGGCCUAGGCUGGGCACUGGGCAGUGGGGGCCUGGAGAGGAAGGAGGCUCGGGAGGCGGCUUCAGGGGGAGGUUUCUGCACGGAAGGUCACGAUGUCCUGCAGCCCUGUAGCCUGGACCUGAUAAUUAGGGCAGACAAUCCAGGCCCUGUGUGCACCAGCGGCUCUCUCCGGGCUGGGGCCCCAGGCGGAGGACAGGAUGGCUGGUGGGGGCCCAGAGGCCUCCCACAAAGGCAAUCCUGGAAACCUGUGGGCUGUGCUGCCUAGGGUGAGAGACAGUGUGCCUUUCAUUCCAUCCAGCCCGGGGCGAAGAGCGGGACGUGAGGGCGGAAGUCCCUCCCCGCCCUGGGACGUGCAGGCGAGCCCGGAGCCAGGGACUCCCCUUCACUGGCUGCGCCGGGGGAUAUUGAGGGCAGAGUGGCGUUAUAACUCACAGCGGAGCUCGGUUGGGCCUCACUGUGACAAUGUCACUGAAGGAAAAGGAGCCUUCUCAGAACCUUCCUUUGCUCUCCCGCCCCAUUGCCUGCUAGAUUUGAGCCUCACCGUGCCAUCAUGCCAAGAAGCAUGACAGAGGAACAGCGCUCCAGAGGACAGCAGGCGACCUUCUCGGUGGCCCGCUCCCACAGCAGCUGGGUCACUGCUGGUUUCAACUCAUCCUUCUGCACAAACUCACAGAGCUAAGGAGAAAAGAAAAAGGGCUCAAGCCAAAAAUGAACAGUUCCUUGAUCUUUGAUCUGCUUUUCUGAAGAUGAUAUUGAGAACCUGAAGCAGACAAAAGUAAUACUUAGGAAUGGAAAAAGACAGAGGAGGCGCAAACGUAACGCAGGGGCUUGAGAGGCUUUCCAGCUCCACUUUUCUACUCUCAUGCCUUCAAAACGAUUUUAUUCAAGUGACAUAUCGAAACUGACCUUCUGAGUUCCAUGUGGGUCCAUAGUUCUAAGUCUGGAGAUUUCUAAGAGGUUUUCUUGCCGUUACCACAAACUCAGCAUGUCUAACAUAGAAGCCAUCAUCCUUCCUUGCCUUUUCAUUUUGCCAGUGGUAUCAACACUUCAUCAGUUAUAUGUGCUUAAAAUUUCAGUCACCUCAUUUUUUUACAAAUCAGUCACUAUUUUUCCUUUAAAAAUUUGUCUUCCAUUAAGCCCAUUCUGCAGUGAUUUCUCCAAUCCCCAAGUCCAGCCCCUCAUUACUGCCCACUGCAGCAGCCUCCACUGGCCUUCCUUCCCAUGGGUUGGUCUCCUCAGCCUCUGCUUCCCCAGGUCACUUCUGUUGCACCCCAGGUUGCAGCUGCUCUCCCCUGCCUCUUGUAGGGCUUUUGCCGGUAACUGGCCUAUGACAUUGUGGCCAAUCACCACCACCAGGCUCUUUUCUUUUCCCUAGUGAGAAAAAUGUGGCUGGCAGGAGUGCUCUUCCCAGCGCCACCUCCCCUCUCUGUGCCCACAAUGCAAAUGCUACAAAGCAGAAUUGUCUCACUAAAAUGCUGGGUGCCUGGCUAACACAGCUAAAGUCCUAGACUCCUGAAGUCAUUCAGGGACUUCCACAGUUUAGUUCCAACCUACAUUCACAACUUUAUCUUUUCCAGAUUUUUUUUUUUUUUUUUUUUUUUUUGAGACAGAGUCUCCCUCUGUCGCCCAGGCUAGAGUGCAGUGGCGUGAUCUCGGCUCACUGCUACCUCCACCUCCUGGGUUCAAGCGACUGUUCUGCCUCAGCCUCCCGAGUAGCUGGGACUACAGGUGCCCACCGCCACACCUGGCUAAUUUUUUUGUAUUUUUAGUAGAGACGGGGUUUCGCCGUGUUGGCCAGGCUGGUCUCGAACUCCUGACCUCAGACCUCAGGUAAUCUGCUGCCUUGGCCUCCCAAAGUGCUGGGAUUACAGACGUGAGCCAUCAUGCCCGGUCUUUUCCAGAUAAUUUGAACCAGAACACAAUCUUCUUUGCUCUACAAUGUGAACUGUGCUGUUUCUUGGGUUCUGUUUGAAAUGCCCUCCCUCCUUGCUCUGAUUCUCUAAAUCCUACUGAUCUUUCGAGACCCAGCUUAAGUCCUGCCACCUUCAGGAAGCUUCCUUGACCAUUCUACCCCAAACCGCUCUGUUUCCUACUCUGUACCCCUCAGUAGAACACAGAAGUUAGGAGUAUGUUUUCUAGAGCUCUUAU